rnacentral:rRNA from 1 species
UUAACUACCGCAUACCGUCCGUUAAGGGGAAAGCGGGGGAUCUUCGGACCUCGCGCUAUUGGAGCGGCCGAUGUCGGAUUAGCUAGUAGGUGAGGUAAAGGCUCACCUAGGCGACGAUCCGUAGCUGGUCUGAGAGGAUGAUCAGCCACACUGGGACUGAGACACGGCCCAGACUCCUACGGGAGGCAGCAGUGGGGAAUUUUGGACAAUGGGCGCAAGCCUGAUCCAGCCAUGCCGCGUGAGUGAAGAAGGCCUUCGGGUUGUAAAGCUCUUUCAGGUGGAAAGAAAUAGCGCUGUUUAAUAGAUGGCGUUGAUGACGGUACCACCAGAAGAAGCACCGGCUAACUACGUG